UACAAGCGGUGGAGCAUGUGGUUUAAUUCGAAGCUACGCGAAGAACCUUACCAGGUCUUGACAUACUAUGCAAAUCUAAGAGAUUAGACGUUCCCUUCGGGGACAUGGAUACAGGUGGUGCAUGGUUGUCGUCAGCUCGUGUCGUGAGAUGUUGGGUUAAGUCCCGCAACGAGCGCAACCCUUAUUACUAGUUGCCAGCAUUCAGUUGGGCACUCUAGUGAGACUGCCGGUGACAAACCGGAGGAAGGCGGGGACGACGUCAGAUCAUCAUGCCCCUUAUGACCUGGGCU
rnacentral:rRNA from 1 species